UACGUAGGUGACCAGCGUUGUCCGGAUUUACUGGGCGUAAAGAGCGCGCAGGCGGUCGUUCAAGUCGCGUGUGAAAGCCCCCGGCUCAACUGGGGAGGGUCACGCGAUACUGAUCGACUCGAAGGCAGGAGAGGGUAGUGGAAAUUCCCGGUGUAGUGGUGAAAUGCGUAGAUAUCUGGAGGAACACCGGUGGCGAAGGCGGCAUCCUGGACCGGUAUUGACGCUGAGGCGCGAAAGCCAGGGGAGCAAACGGG
rnacentral:rRNA from 1 species